UACGAAGGGGGCUAGCGUUGCUCGGAAUCACUGGGCGUAAAGCGCACGUAGGCGGCUUUUUAAGUCAGGGGUGAAAUCCCGGAGCUCAACUCCGGAACUGCCUCUGAUACUGAAAAGCUCGAGUUCGGGAGAGGUGAGUGGAACUGCGAGUGUAGAGGUGAAAUUCGUAGAUAUUCGCAAGAACACCAGUGGCGAAGGCGGCUCACUGGCCCGGUACUGACGCUGAGGUGCGAAAGCGUGGGGAGCAAACAGG
rnacentral:rRNA from 1 species